rnacentral:rRNA from 1 species
GGAAGAACACCAGUGGCGAAGGCGGUUCUCUGGACUGUAACUGACGCUGAGGCACGAAAGCGUGGGUAGCAAACAGGAUUAGAUACCCUGGUAGUCCACGCCGUAAACGAUGAGUACUAGGUGUAGGAGGUAUCGACCCCUUCUGUGCCGCAGUAAACACAAUAAGUACUCCGCCUGGGAAGUACGAUCGCAAGAUUAAAACUCAAAGGAAUUGACGGGGGCCCGCACAAGCAG